AAAUAAUUAUAUUACACAUAAAUAUAACUGAAUAUACACUGUAACACAACUGGACCACCACCACCCCUCAGAACACAUCAGAUUUUACUCAAAUGCUCUCCCAAAAUUCUCUCUCCAGCUUCAAACAGCACUACAGCACAUCAAUUACAGCAGCAGUACUACAACCCGAAGUUACCAAAAUAAUUAAAUAAAAACCUGAACAUUACAACCGAGACCACUCAUGCAAAGAACUAGGUGACUCGGCACGGCUUCCCCUGGUUUCUCAAUCAGGAGCUGAAGAAUGAAGGCGGAGUGAAGAGGCCUGGUCAGGGCCAGAGUGGGCCAUUCCUCAUUUGACAAGCUGUGCGACUGUUCUCCCAAAGAUAGCUACUCAGAACUUUAAUGUUGAAGCUUGGCGACUUUAUUAAUUUGUGGUUGUUCUUAAUCUGGGUCAUCUUGGUUUUGGUGCAGUUUAAGUUUCACAAUGACUUUUCGCCUGUUGGCUUUUAAUUGUUGGAUUUACUUAUUUGUGAAAUUAAAUCCUUUAUUUUUGCUGAA